rnacentral:rRNA from 1 species
CCUACGGGAGGCAGCAGUGGGGAAUAUUGGACAAUGGGCGAAAGCCUGAUCCAGCAAUGCCGCGUGAGUGAUGAAGGCCUUAGGGUUGUAAAGCUCUUUUACCAGGGAUGAUAAUGACAGUACCUGGAGAAUAAGCUCCGGCUAACUCCGUGCCAGCAGCCGCGGUAAUACGGAGGGAGCUAGCGUUGUUCGGAAUUACUGGGCGUAAAGAGUACGUAGGCGGUUAUUCAAGUCAGAGGUGAAAGCCCGGGGCUCAACCCCGGAACUGCCUUUGAAACUAGAUAGCUAGAAUCUUGGAGAGGUCAGUGGAAUUCCGAGUGUAGAGGUGAAAUUCGUAGAUAUUCGGAAGAACACCAGUGGCGAAGGCGACUGACUGGACAAGUAUUGACGCUGAGGUACGAAAGCGUGGGGAGCAAACAGGAUUAGAUACCCUGGUAGUCCACGCCGUAAACGAUGAUAACUAGUUGUUCGGGCACUUGGUGCCUGAGUGACGCAGCUAACGCAUUAAGUUAUCCGCCUGGGGAGUACGGUCGCAAGAUUAAAACUCAAAGGAAUUGAACGGUNUGAGAGUGCGAGACGACACGAGGAGAGG